rnacentral:rRNA from 1 species
ACACGACUACAUUAGAUACCCCGGUAGUCCCAGCCCUAAACGAUGCGCGUUAGGUGUAUCGGUGACCACGAGUCACCGAGGUGCCGAAGGGAAACCGUGAAACGUGCCGCCUGGGAAGUACGGUCGCAAGGCUGAAACUUAAAGGAAUUGGCGGGGAGCACCACAACGGGUGGAGCUUGCGGUUUAAUUGGAUUCAACGCCGGAAAUCUCAUCGGGAGCGACAGCAGUAUGAUUGCCAGGUUGAUGACCUUGCUUGACAAGCUG